UAGGGAGUAAGUGAUGAUGUUUACAUUAUUUACUCUCUCUCUGUUCUAAUAUCUAAUAUUAAUGAAUUAUAAUUUUUAUAUUUGUUACUUGAUCAAAAGAAAACAGAUGCACCUACUGUUACUUUGUCACAAAAGCAUGGAUCUGUGGAUAUACCUGUAAGUCAUAAUUGGUUUUAUUAUUUUCAAUUUAUAUUUUAAUAAUAAAGCCUUCAGAAACCCCUGAAGUAUGUGUACCAAAUCUAUUAUUAUUUUUCCCUUUUAAUGUCAAUUUACAACAAUGAAACUCUUAUUUUUCUCACUUUAUAGGAAGUAAGGCAUAAUGUGCAUUAUAACUAUUAUUUACAUUUUGUCUUAUAAUUUUGUCAUUUUUUCUUAUAUCAACAAUUUAUUA